UUCAAGAUGGCAUUUUCGUUUUCAAAACGCUCUCCAUCCACACUGCGGUUUUAAAAUGUUUUCCAAAAGUUUCUCGUGCACACUGAAAGGUACACCUCCUCUGUCAGCCAGGGUCUCUGGGGAAGUCUGGACCAUGUACCCAAAGCAGCCAUUGCAGAUGUAUGAGCCACAGUCCUAAACCUCGCCCGUUUCCCCUCGACAUCGUAGGCGAUGAUGAAAUUCUCACUUGCAACUUUCAUCAGCUAGUUGAGACCAUGCCACUAAGGGUUUGAAUGGGGACCUGGGUGUACACCCACCACCGGAGUGAAAGAAUGAUGUUCGUCUUCAGUGGGGGUAUAAGUAAACAUGACAACAACUCCUCCCCUCUGGUUGAUGGGAAGGCGAGGCCAAGGUAUCCUGGGGCUUACAGCUUCCCACAACUCACCGCCACGCUCCCACACCCCCUUCAUUCUUUUGUUCAGAAGAAGAGCCACUCCCUGUUGUUUGGCAGUCUCCUGCACUGAGUAGAGGACUGAACACCCCUCAUGGUGGCAUUAGCCAGAGCCAGUCCACCAGACCUCCUGAAUACCACAGAGAUCCAGGCAGUACCGGUCCAGCUCCCAACAAGGGGUGGCAGCCUCUCCUCCGCAGUGAGUAUUCUAACAUUCCAUGUGGCCAUCCAAAGUGUUUUUUUGUUGCUUCUGGAGGAGCCCCGAG